rnacentral:rRNA from 2 species
ACGGAAGGCAGCAGUGGGGAAUAUUGCACAAUGGGGGAAACCCUGAUGCAGCGACGCCGCGUGAGUGAAGAAGUAUUUCGGUAUGUAAAGCUCUAUCAGCAGGGAAGAAAAUGACGGUACCUGACUAAGAAGCCCCGGCUAACUACGUGCCAGCAGCCGCGGUAAUACGUAGGGGGCAAGCGUUAUCCGGAUUUACUGGGUGUAAAGGGAGCGUAGGUGGCAAGGCAAGUCAGAAGUGAAAACCCGAGGCUUAACUUCGGGAUUGCUUUUGAAACUGUUUAGCUUGAGUGCAGGAGGGGUAAGCGGAAUUCCUAGUGUAGCGGUGAAAUGCGUAGAUAUUAGGAAGAACACCGGUGGCGAAGGCGGCUUACUGGACUGUAACUGACACUGAGGCUCGAAAGCGUGGGGAGCAAACAGGAUUAGAUACCCUGGUA